rnacentral:rRNA from 1 species
UACGUAGGGGGCUAGCGUUGUCCGGAAUCAUUGGGCGUAAAGCGCGUGUAGGCGGUCCGGUAAGUCCGCUGUGAAAGUCGAGGGCUCAACCCUCGAAUGCCGGUGGAUACUGUCGGGCUAGAGUACGGAAGAGGCGAGUGGAAUUCCUGGUGUAGCGGUGAAAUGCGCAGAUAUCAGGAGGAACACCGAUGGCGAAGGCAGGUCUCUGGGCCACUACUGACGCUGAGAAGCGAAAGCAUGGGGAGCGAACAGG